rnacentral:rRNA from 1 species
CUUUCAACAACGGAUCUCUUGGUUCUGGCAUCGAUGAAGAACGCAGCGAAAUGCGAUAAGUAAUGUGAAUUGCAGAAUUCAGUGAAUCAUCGAAUCUUUGAACGCACAUUGCGCCCCUUGGUAUUGCGAGGGGCAUGCCUGUUCGAGCGUCA